CAACCUUCUGUUGACACGAGCUUAGGAUUGAGGAAAUGUGAUGGUUAAUUACCCAUUUGAUCUCAAAACUCAUCAAACAGUACUAACCUUAGAUGUCAAAUCUGCUUCGAGCUCUAAAACCUAAAGAUUUGCAACUAUUAGGGCCAGAAGCAGUGGUCAUUUUUUAUGGAUGCACCUAAUAGGCGGCCACCGUUACCUCCUAUGAAGAGACAGAUUUUAUAUCCAUGCUUUCGUCUUGAUUCGAACCUGUGCUCUUCGAUGCUGCAGUCAGAGUCACUAAUCACAUUCCCAUCUGGACGGCACUAUUCUAAAAUUGUAUCACAUGAGUCUUUUAAAGGAGAAAGUGGUUAACGAUUCUGUCUGCCGUACCGAAGGGUUCGAAUCCUCCCGGAGACGACAUGGAUGUAAAUUGUCUAUCCCUUCAUAGGAGCCAACGGUGGACCAGGAAUUAUGUGCAUCCAUAAUAAAAUGACCACCGCUUCCGGUCUUAGUAUUGGCCAGGCCAACGCCUAUAACGCCUAGUGCCUGGAACUGGUAAUUAAAAAAACUACGUUAUCACAUGAAAUUUGAAUACUAAUAUAACUUACUUGCAUGCCGCUUAGCGUUUUGAGACUAAUAUAUGAAACAUGUUAUGAUAAAUCUACGAAAUUUAUCAGAAAGUUGCUGUUAAGUUUCAGAAGUAGUGAAAUUUUUAAAAGUAGCUUAAUGCAUUUCAUAUGCAACAAUUAUGUUAGUUUACAAUAAUUAACUUUAUAAUGUCUGU